AUUGAACGCUGGCGGAAUGCUUUACACAUGCAAGUCGAGCGGCAGCGCGGGGGCAACCCUGGCGGCGAGCGGCGAACGGGUGAGUAACAUAUCGGAACGUACCCCGUCGUGGGGGAUAAUACAGCGAAAGCUGUGCUAAUACCGCAUACGACCUGAGGGUGAAAGCGGGGGAUCGCAAGACCUCGCGCGAUGGGAGCGGCCGAUAUCGGAUUAGCUUGUUGGUGAGGUAACGGCUUACCAAGGCGACGAUCUGUAGCGGGUCUGAGAGGAUGAUCCGCCACACUGGAACUGAGACACGGUCCAGACUCCUACGGGAGGCAGCAGUGGGGAAUUUUGGACAAUGGGCGCAAGCCUGAUCCAGCCAUGCCGCGUGAGUGAAGAA
rnacentral:rRNA from 1 species